GCUCCUCUCUGCCCUAGCGCCGGCCCACCGCCGAGCCUAGCAUCCUCUCCCGCCACCACAGCGACGCCACUGCUGCCGCUCGAUCUCUUCUCCCCUCUGCCGGUCGGUCUCUCCUUCUCCUCCUUCCCGAGCCGCACCAGGCGCCGCCACCACCUGAGGCUGAACGGAGCAGCGCCUGACCUAGGGUUUCCGGCAGUGGGCUGAUACAUGAUUUUUCCAGCCAUUGCUGGUUGCUACCAUCGCCAGAGAAGAAGGUCAGUGACAGUGGUGUGAAGUUGUUGGAUUCCGGCCACCACAACACUGAAUGCCUUGGUUGUUUCCUUGAUAUCCAACUUUGAUCCGAUCAGUGAAAGGACUUUGACGCGAGACGGGUAUCUCGGAGUCAGAUUUGGACUUUUCUUAUCGGAGG